UACAGAGGGUGCGAGCGUUGUUCGGAAUUAUUGGGCGUAAAGGGCGCGUAGGCGGUGUUGUAAGUCACCUGUGAAACCUCCGGGCUUAACUCAGAGCCUGCAGGCGAAACUGCAAUGCUGGAGGGUGGGAGAGGUGCGUGGAAUUCCCGGUGUAGCGGUGAAAUGCGUAGAUAUUAGGAGGAACACCGGUGGCGAAGGCGGCUAUCUGGACAACAACUGACGCUGAGGCGCGAAAGCGCGGGGAUCAAACAGG
rnacentral:rRNA from 1 species